rnacentral:rRNA from 1 species
AGUGAACGCUGGCGGUAGGCCUAACACAUGCAAGUCGAACGGCAGCACAGUAAGAGCUUGCUCUUACGGGUGGCGAGUGGCGGACGAGUGAGGAAUACAUCGGAAUCUACUUUUUCGUGGGGGAUAACGUAGGGAAACUUACGCUAAUACCGCAUACGACCUACGGGUGAAAGCAGGGGAUCUUCGGACCUUGCGCGAUUGAAUGAGCCGAUGUCGGAUUAGCUAGUUGGCGGGGUAAAGGCCCACCAAGGCGACGAUCCGUAGCUGGUCUGAGAGGAUGAUCAGCCACACUGGAACUGAGACACGGUCCAGACUCCUACGGGAGGCAGCAGUGGGGAAUAUUGGACAAUGGGCGCAAGCCUGAUCCAGCCAUACCGCGUGGGUGAAGAAGGCCUUCGGGUUGUAAAGCCCUUUUGUUGGGAGAGAAAAGCAGCAGGUUAAUACCCCGCUGUUCUGACGGUACCCAAAGAAUAAGCACCGGCUAACUUCGUG